GACGAACGCUGGCGGCGUGCUUAACACAUGCAAGUCGAACGAUGAACCCGGAGCUUGCUCCGGCGGAUUAGUGGCGAACGGGUGAGUAACACGUGAGUAACCUGCCCUUGACUCUGGGAUAACUGCUAGAAAUGGUAGCUAAUACCGGAUACGACCCUCGGCGGCAUCGCCAGGGGGUGGAAAGAAUUUCGGUCAAGGAUGGACUCGCGGCCUAUCAGCUAGUUGGUGAGGUAACGGCUCACCAAGGCGACGACGGGUAGCCGGCCUGAGAGGGUGACCGGCCACACUGGGACUGAGACACGGCCCAGACUCCUACGGGAGGCAGCAGUGGGGAAUAUUGCACAAUGGGCGCAAGCCUGAUGCAGCAACGCCGCGUGAGGGAUGACGGCCUUCGGGUUGUAAACCUCUUUUAGCAGGGAAGAAGCGAGAGUGACGGUACCUGCAGAAAAGGCACCGGCUAACUACGUGCCAGCCGCCGCCGUAA
rnacentral:rRNA from 1 species